AAUCAACGCUGGCGGCGUGCCUAACACAUGCAAGUCGAGCGGGAAAGGGGCUUCGGCCCUGAGUAUAGCGGCGGACGGGUGAGUAACACGUGGGUAAUUUGCCCUUGGGUGUGGAAGUAACUCAGGGAAACUUGAGCUAAUACCGCAUGACAUCCCCUUCACACACGAGUCGGGGAUCAAAGCCGGGGACCUUCGGGGCCUGGCGCCUGAGGAGAAGCCCGCGCCCGAUUAGCUAGUU
rnacentral:rRNA from 1 species